GCAUGGAGCCGGCCUUGAAAUACCACCCUUUAAUGUUUGAUGUUCUAACGUGGACCCGUGAUCCGGGUUGCGGACAGUGUCUGGUGGGUAGUUUGACUGGGGCGGUCUCCUCCUAAAGAGUAACGGAGGAGCACGAAGGUUGGCUAAUCCUGGUCGGACAUCAGGAGGUUAGUGCAAUGGCAUAAGCCAGCUUGACUGCGAGCGUGACGGCGCGAGCAGGUGCGAAAGCAGGUCAUAGUGAUCCGGUGGUUCUGAAUGGAAGGGCCAUCGCUCAACGGAUAAAAGGUACUCCGGGGAUAACAGGCUGAUACCGCCCAAGAGUUCAUAUCGACGGCGGUGUUUGGCACCUCGAUGUCGGCUCAUCACAUCCUGGGGCUGAAGUAGGUCCCAAGGGUAUGGCUGUUCGCCAUUUAAAGUGGUACGCGAGCUGGGUUUAGAACGUCGUGAGACAGUUCGGUCCCUAUCUGCCGUGGGCGCUGGAGAACUGAGGGGGGCUGCUCCUAGUACGAGAGGACCGGAGUGGACGCAUCACUGGUGUUCGGGUUGUCAUGCCAAUGGCACUGCCCGGUAGCUAAAUGCGGAAGAGAUAAGUGCUGAAAGCAUCUAAGCACGAAACUUGCCCCGAGAUGAGUUCUCCCUGAGACUUAGAGUCUCCUGAAGGAACGU
rnacentral:rRNA from 1 species